rnacentral:rRNA from 1 species
UACGUAGGGGCCUAGCGUUGUCCGGAUUUAUUGGGCGUAAAGAGCUCGUAGGCGGUUCGGUAAGUCAGGUGUGAAAUCUCCACGCUCAACGUGGAGGCGCCACCUGAAACUGCCGUGACUCGAGUCCGGUAGGGGAGUGUGGAAUUCCCGGUGUAGCGGUGAAAUGCGCAGAUAUCGGGAGGAACACCAGUAGCGAAGGCGGCUCGCUGGGCCACACCUGACGCUGAGACGCGAAAGCUAGGGGAGCGAACAGG